UCUAAAAUAAUCAAUGUAUCAGCUUGCUGGAACUAACAUAUCCAGAAGGAACAUCUUAUUAGACAAUUUCUGGAAAGUUUUAUCGGAACAUCUUAUAAUCGGUAGUGAAAGGAAUAGCUGAUGCAUAUUGAGGAUUCAAUGGUGGACCGAGAUUUAAGCCCAAUUUCUGAUAAACUAUGGAAGAACUUUUAAAUGCUAUACUUUAGGUCCAAAUGUACCAGUGUUGUAGUUGAAAAGAUGAAAGAAAAGAAAGUUCGUUUAAAUGGAGACCAUAGAAGAUUUGAGACUCAGUUAAAAAUUGGGGAUGAUUGCAGAUGAAGUUCAUAAUUUAAUAACAUGACAUUUAUGUUUAAUAAUCAUGAACUUGGACUUGUAGAAUUGAAUUUUUAAUUACUAAGUUGUCCUUCCA